UAUUCAAAUCGGGCGAAAGGAUAAACUUUAUUUUCCAGACGUGACUUCCACAAACAACUAUUUCAGAUUGUCCAAACCUGUUACCCGACCGAAGCGCCAAGAUUUGGGCAUGGGUCUACAAGCCUAUUAAAAUCCCAACCGCGAUCAAAAAGCUCUCCUUUAUUUUUUCAGGCGACGCCUCUCCUCGCCCCCACUCGCCUCCUUUUUCCUGCAAUCAGAUGGAAGCUGACGUGGAUGAACUAUGGCGGAAAAAAUACUUGCCACCAAGAGAGCUGCACAUGUCGAUCCCCUUCAGUCGAAGGACGUCCUUCCGUUCCCUUCUCAACUUCACUCUAUCAUUUUCACCAUCCCUUUUGAUCAAAUUUGUCCCUACAGUAUAUGAUUGGUAGAAAUAGAGGUUUCGAUCCAAUCUCCAAACCCGAUUUGCUUCAAAGAUUAUUCCAAUUCAUCAGGGAUAGCAAGCAUUCGAAUUAUUAAAAUUCUAACGAUAGGCCACAAUAAUCCGACCUUUUCUUGAUGUUUGAUUUGUAUUUUACAUGCAUUUCCAUGAAUCACAGCAAAAUACUAUUCUUCAUGAUUUAUGUUAGUGAUUUUUCCAAAUUAUGGUUUCUAAAAUUGGGAUUUUUUUAUCCUCAUGUUUCUACUAUGUUCACGGCGCUCCAUGAGUUAUGUAUGUGUUGAUUUUACUUAUUUUGCAUGCAAUUUGAUUGCCAUUGCCAAGUGUUUAUUGCAUUAAAGGAAUUGUAGAAUGUUGAAUUAGCAAGCACUGUGGGCACUGUGGGUUCUGCGGGCGCUGUUAAUUCAUAUAAUAUUGAUUUAAUGUUUUGCCCACACACAAAAACAAUUGUUUAUCCCAUUCCUUGGCAUAUGAUUCACAAGGGCUGUUUGAUUGCCUCUCCGUAAUGCUACUUAUGUCCAAACCAUCUCAAAUAGUUCUACAUAUCUAUCAGAACUAUUUUACAGUGGAUUCAAUCACCUGGCUAAAACCAACACAAAUCUAAUCAGGUCUUCUUGUCCUAAAUCUCUUUUAUAGGGGAUGCAAUCACCUAGCUCUCCAUUUAUUAGAACAUUUGUCUUGCAGUUUGAAGGCAUGAUCAAAUCCAAGUCACCCAUCUUUCACUCAAUUUGUUAGAAGGUCUAGCAAAUAGUCCAACUCACCAUAUUGAAUCUUUCUCAAACUCCAACAUGAACACAAAGGUCUCAACCCUUAAAAGCAUUAAGAGCUGAUCUUUCUCAAGAUCAACAUCAUCUUUAAAAACAUGCCGGUUUCCCAUAAAAACCAGUAGAGAGAAACUGUCAGGGCCAGGGUCCUUCUGCCCUAGCAACCCCAUUAUGGCAUCUUUAACCUUCCCUCUAACAUAUGUAAUUGUUGAGGUGAGACAAGAAGCUCAUGAGAGUUUUUUUCUGGAAUUCUUGUUGAACUAUUUUUCUAGCACUUGAUUUUUAUUGCACCAAUAUCUUCUAACUUCUCUUGUUAUUUUGCAAGGUUUGAAAGAGGCUUUUGAUAGUAUGAUUCCUGCAGCAGAACAGAGAAUAUGCAUGCGGCAUGUGUAUACCAACUUCAGGGAUAAGAGGUGUCACGCCUCGAACCCCGCACUCGGGUCCGGUACUCGACCAACCGCAUGAGCCCUAGAGCAAUAUCCUAAAGAUCAUACAAGGCCUAAGACGAACAAAAAUCCGAUAAUUCCAUAAUUAAUUAAUUAAUUCAAAUAGAUAAAUCCAACAUAUUCAAAUAAUCAAAUUGCUUCGAUUACAAGAGCAUUCAAUGUUCAUCGGUAUCAACAUAAACUAACUAACUAGCUGAUGACUCUGUCACUCGCUCUCUGCACCCAUUCCAUCCAUGUCUAUACAUCCUGUAGCUCUGAAAAAGAGAGAAAAGAGGUGGUGAGCUUUACAGCCCAGUAAGAAUUUUCACACAUCCACACCAACUCAAUAAUAAUAAAAGCUUGAAAACGUUGCAUACAUUAUAAAAUCGCAAAUCGAUUAGCAAUAAUACUCGAAUGCAAAGCAAGUAAUGAUAUCCAACUUGCCAUCUACAGUUGCUCUGGCUUUCUUCCUGUGACUAAAUUUGGAAAUCAGAAUGGAAACCCAGAACUCAAAUUGGUCACCAGUGUAUUAAUGCAGAAUAAAAAUUCCUGAAGUGCGAACAUAAUAUAUUAUUUAACAUUUUGAAUCUAAAGAUGGACUGCACUAACUAGUGUUGUGUCCUUGCUUUUGCAAGUGCAUAGCAUAACAGACUCAGCAAUGAAAGGUGAGCAGUGAAACUGAGACCAUAUUCCAUGAAUCCUGAAGUUAGAUGUUCAAAUCUUCUUGUCUUUAUUUUUUAUCUUUAUUAAUUUUUGUUAUAAAAUUUUGACAUUAUUCUUCCACAUGUGGCAUCUUUAGUAACCAAAUUCGUUAUGAAGUCUUCAGAGCUAAAACUAGAAUGGAUCUGGUGGACUACAUAUUGUAAUUGUUUAUUUCACUUCAGAGUGUUUUGGAUGCAACUUGCUUUUCGGAUGAUGUUAUGCACUCAUUCCACAAUCCACCAUCAUUUGCCCAUCAAAGCUGUAUUAGUGACUUUAGUAUUAAGACCCUUCUAACCUCUGUUUUGCAUUAUCUAUCCCAGCACUCCCUUCAACUGACAUUUCCUUCUAUUUUUGAUCAGUUCUACUUACCGCCAAUUUAGUUAAAAGAAAGAGAGCCAUUUAUUGGUUGAAACAGCAGAUAAACCUGAACCAUGAAACAGAGUAAACCUUCUCAACUAUAGCAAUCUGCCUUCCAAAGUACUAAAUUCAAUACGUUGCAUCAGUAAGAGAAAACCUGUUUCAUCAAGACAACUUCGACAAACAUGUCUGCUCCUUAAAUUGGUAAAUUAUGUGGUGAUUACUUCCAAUAAUUCUUCAGAUACAAAAGGGUGUCUCCAAAGGACCAAAUCAAUAUAGAACUAAGUAAUGAUAAGGACUGGUGCCCCAGCUCUUUCAUUCCUUUCUCAACUGAUAUUCUUUCUUGAGUUUGAGGCUUUGAAUUAAAUAAAAAUGCCUAUACCUUUAGAUAAACAAUUUCCGGUUUGUUAAGCUUGAAUAGUUGUUUAUUGAGUGCUACUAAGUAAGCCAUCACUUCUUAAGUGAUUUCUUCAUGUUGAUUGUAACCCUUGGCUGCCUUAAAGCAUGCUUUUAAUGAUAAGAGUCAAUUUAGUGCUUGUAAACCCACUUACAUAUGUUACUGCUUUUAUUAGGUGAUGCUCAAAAUAGCAUCAUUUGAUAUCAGCACUUCACGUGAAAGUUUGUUGCUAUUUUCUUGCUGUAUUUUAAAUAUAUAUUUAAAUAAAAAACUAAAUAGAGUCAUUAUUUUGCUGUUACAAGAGCCAACAAGAACCAUCACAGAAAGAAUUAAGUGAUUCAAUGAAAUGGUUGGUUAUGCAUUCUCACUGUUAUUCUCAACAAAAAAUGUAAUUCAUAAAGUAGGCUUCCAAAACUUCUUUCUUUGCUUUGUAACUGCUUGUUACAACAUUGUAACCACAGAUAUUGCAUUUUGGUCAUAGCAUUUGAUGGUCAUAAUGUUUCACUGUGAUCAUGCUUCUAACUUAUCUGUAGACUUCAUCCACCAUAAAUUUGGACAUGUUGGUUAAGAAAUUUGUAGCAGGUAGCAGUACGUGACUAGCAAGCAGAUGAUUAGUUGAAAAGCCAACAUGCAAACAAGUACUUGAGUUAUGAGGCAAGCACAUUAAGUUCUUCUGGCUACUUUUGAACCAACAAGUAACCUUUUAUGAUAUUUGGUUGACAGGUAAUAGUUUUGCUUCUACUGCAAACAAAAGUUUAGGAAACAUCAAGAGUUAACUAUGCAGAAGAGCGAAGUCAUUUGCAUACCAUUGUCAUAUUUCAUUAUUUUGGACUUCAAAUGAUUACAGAUAAUUAACAUAUUCCCAUGGAUAUAUAGGUUCGAGAUUAUACCUAACUCUUUAAAAAAGAGAAUAUGCAUCAAUAGUAGAACUCUUGGUGUUAUAAAUCUGAUAAUAUGGUGAACCAUUUUUUUUCUAACUAAUGAGGUUAUGUUACAAUUUUAUGUAAGAAAAAGCUACUUAAAGACUAAUUUAAAUUGAAAUUAAAUAAGAUCAACAGUGAUGGCAGCCCUUGGUUUAAGAUAAUGUGACACAAAGCCAUUAUUUAGCAUAUAUUGCUGAUGGUGAAAGGCAAGUUCUGUCAAUUGUUUUAGGUAAAUUCUGAAGUAGAGCAUGAAUUGUACGUGUUACUAUCCCGACUAAAUAUAUUUCUAUGCAUCUCUGCAUGGUACAAGGGUGGUUGGGUGUACUCAUAUAAGUACUUGCAGAGAAGCAAGAGCUCAGUUUAAGAAUUUUUUUUAUUCUUUUGUGCACUUGGACUCAUAUUUUACUAGAAGACAUGCCUUUCAGUCAUGAUCGAACUUUCCUUCCAGUAGCUUGUUUUACCCAUGAUGAAUAUUCUUACUGAGGCACUUGGCUAAAGAGAAUUCAUGAGCAUUUGUCACCAACUUAAGAUAGCAGUUUCAUUAAUUGUUCUUUCUAUGUUAUUUAGGCGGUUCUUGUAUUGUUGCUUCUCAAAAUUUACAUUAUGGUGUUGAUGCUUACAGAGAACAGCAGCUUUAGUACGAUCUCUUAGUCAGAAAUGAUUGGCAGAAGCUGAUAAAAAGAGGGGUAAACACACUGAAUGAGCCCCGGUAUCAGUUGUGCUAUGUUGAUCCUGGGGUUGCCCAUGGAGAAGAGAUGGAGCAGCUCAAGACUGUGGAUAGCAUAUUAAUUAAGUUCUACAAGAAAGAUUUCAGAGAAGAUGAAUCUAGGAAUCCAUCUAAGGUCUAACACUGUAUCUGUACCUUUGCUGGGCAUGAGUUUAUAGAUCAAAAUUCUCUGAGAGCAUAUAGUGCCUUAUUGGGGAAAAAGCUAAGGAUGUUGUAGAGAUGUUUCCAGAUUAUGUAGGUUGCAGCAAACCUUUGAUUGGAUCAUAGAACCGUUGAAUUAAGGAAAUCACAGUGCUUUUCCCACAUCCGCUGGUACCCACUAAAGCGACCACUCUGCCUGCUGGUAUGGACAGUGAAAAGCCUUGAAGGAUAAGCUUAUCCUCGCGCGACGGCUUUUGCCCGAUUAAAGAUCUCAAGGUCAGGUGCAGCAUAAGUGAUUGAUCUGCAUUUCAAUAAGAAAACCAAAGCUCUUAGUUUUUGGAAACUACAUAGUCAUGAUUAUGUCAAAGAUGGAAAAAUAAUCUUUUAGAAUAUUUACAUUGCUCCAAAGAGAAUGCUCAUUACAGCUGCUAGUGUCUCUCCUCCAUUAGCUUUUUUUGCGGUUACUGCUACUGCUCCCACCCAAACAACCAAGGCCCAUGAGCCGAAUGUUACUGCUUGGAAUGAUCCCAGUCCCAGUCCUUUUAUUAGUGCUUCUUUCUUGCUCAAGAUGUGUUGCUUCUCCAUGCACUGAGUGAAGGACUUUAUUGCUUCCAUCUCCCCAACAAAGGAAAAGACAGUUUUGAUAUGGGAUACAGUCUGCAGAUAAAUACACAGUGCAUUGUAUUAGAAAAGUUCAUGAUUGUUGCAAAACUGAUUUUACCUAUCAUCUUUUCUCUGUGAUCUAAAACAUAUGCUAUCAUUUUUUUUCCAUCAUGUAGGCUUUGAAUUUCUUUUGAGAAAAAUAAAUAAGUUUCGGAUCUCUUUCC